rnacentral:lncRNA from 1 species
UCCCUUGUUAUACUGACAAAUGUAAUAUACCCAUUGAAAAAUACAUGUUUUCGCGCCUAUUACAAAUUUUCAUGCCACAAGAAAUUGCCUACAGAAAUUACCAACUGAUAAGCCAUUCGUGUAAUUAAAAUAUACAAAAAGCUUGUUAAUUUAAAACAUUCAUUUAAAUAGCUUAAAACCUUUACGGGUUUCUACAAUCCCAUAUGCCCUCCUUAGGCACAAUUUAUACUUUUUUUUUUGCAGCAUAUUGCAAUCAUUUAUGAUACAUCAUGUGUAUCGUACAUCAAUAUACCAUCAACGUACUUUUUCAAUGUACAAAAAUUACAAAGAUAAACUAUUUAACUGUAACUUUUGUUUUCAAAAUAUAGCAGCAAAUGCAGCAUAUU